UCUUGGCUAAGGUGUCUUGGCUAAUGUGUCUUGGCUAAGGUGUCUUGGCUAAUGUGUCUCGGCUAAGGUGUCUUGGCUAAGGUGUCUUGGCUAAGGUGUCUUGGCUAAGGUGUCUUGGCUUAGGUGUCUUGGCUAAUGUGUCUUGGCUAAGGUGUCUUGGCUAAUGUGUCUUGGCUAAGGUGUUUUGGCUAAGGUGUCUUGGCUAAUGUGUCUUGGCUAAUGUGUCUCGGCUAAGGUGUCUUGGCUAAUGUGUCUUGGCUAAGGUGUCUUGGCUAAGGUGUCUUGGCUAAUGUGUCUUGGCUAAAGUGUCUUGGCUAAGGUGUCUUGGCUAAAGUGUCUUGGCUAAUGUGUCUUGGCUAAUGUGUCUCGACUAAUGUGUAUUGGCUAAUGUGUCUCGGCUAAUGUGUCUUGGCUAAUGUGUCUUGGCUAAGGUGUCUUGGCUAAGGUGUCUUGGCUAAGGUGUCUUGGCUAAGGUGUCUUGGCUAAUGUGUCUUGGCUAAGGUGUCUUGGCUAAGGUGUCUUGGCUAAUGUGUCUUGGCUUAGGUGUCCUGGCUAAGGUGUCUUGGCUAAGGUGUCUUGGCUUAUGUGUCUCGGCUAAGGUGUCUUGGCUAAUGUGUCGCGGCUAAGGUGUCUUGGCUAAGGUGUCUUGGCUAAUGUGUCUUGGCUAAUGUGUCUUGGCUAAGGUGUCUUGGCUUAUGUUUCUCGGCUAAGGUGUCUCGGCUAAGGUGUCUUGGCUAAGGUGUCUUGGCUAAUGUGUCUUGGCUAAGGUGUCUUGGCUAAGGUGUCUUGGCUAAGGUGUCUUGGCUAAUGUGUCUCGGCUAAGGUGUCUUGGCUAAUGUGUCUUGGCUAAUGUGUCUUGGCUAAUGUGUCUCGGCUAAUGUGUCUUGGCUAAUGUGUCUUGGCUAAGGUGUCUUGGCUAAGGUGUCUUGGCUAAGGUGUCUUGGCUAAGGUGCCUUGGCUAAGGUGUCUAGGCUAAUGUGUCUCGGCUAAAGUGUCUUUGCUAAGGUGUCUUGGCUAAUGUGUCUUGGCUAAGGUGUCUUGGCUAAGGUGCCUUGGCUAAGGUGUCUUGGCUAAUGUGUCUCGGCUAAUGUGUCUUGGCUAAUGUGUCGCGGCUAAGGUGUCUUGGCUAAUGUGUCUUGGCUAAUGUGUCUUGGCUAAUGUGUCUUGGCUAAGGUGUCUUGGCUAAGGUGUCUUGGCUAAGGUGUCUUGGCUAAGGUGUCUUGGCUAAGGUGUCUUGGCUAAGGUGUCUUGGCUAAGGUGUCUUGGCUAAUGUGUCUUGGCUAAGGUGUCUUGGCUUAUGUGUCUUGGCUAAUGUGUCUCGGCUAAGGUGUCUUGGCUAAUGUGUUGUGGCUAAGGUGUCUUGGCUAAGGUGUCUUGGCUAAUGUGUCUUGGCUAAUGUGUCUUGGCUAAGGUGUCUUGGCUAAUGUGUCUCGGCUAAGGUGUCUUGGCUAAUGUGUCUUGGCUAAUGUGUCUCGGCUAAAGUGUCUUGGCUAAUGUGUCUUGGCUAAGGUGUCUUGGCUAAGGUGUCUCGGCUACGGUGUCUCGGCUAAGGUGUCUUGGCUAAUGUGUCUUGGCUAAUGUGUCUUGGCUAAUGUGUCUUGGCUAAGGUGUCUUGGCUAAUGUGUCUUGGCUAAGGUGUCUUGGCUAAGGUGUCUUUUCUUAUGUGUCUUGGCUAAUGUGUCUCGGCUAAGGUGUCUCGGCUAAUGUGUCUUGGCUAAGGUGUCUUGGCUAAGGUGUCUUGGCUAAUGUGUCUUGGCUAAUGUGUCUUGGCUAAGGUGUCUUGGCUAAAGUGUCUUGGCUAAGGUGUCUCGGCUAAGGUGUCUUGGCUAAUGUGUCUUGGCUAAGGUGUCUUGGCUAAUGUGUCUCGGCUAAGGUGUCUUGGCUAAUGUGUCUUGGCUAAGGUGUCUUGGCUAAGGUGUCUUGGCUAAGGUGUCUUGGCUAAGGUGUCUUGGCUAAUGUGUCUCGGUUAAGGUGUCUUGGCUUAUGUGUCUUGGCUAAGGUGUCUUGGCUAAUGUGUCUCGGCUAAUGUGUCUUGGCUAAUGUGUCUCGGCUAAUGUGUCUUGGCUAAUGUGUCUUGGCUAAGGUGUCUUGGCUAAUGUGUCUCGGCUAAGGUGUCUUGGCUAAUGUGUCUUGGCUAAGGUGUCUUGGCUAAGGUGUCUUGGCUAAUGUGUCUUGGCUAAAGUGUCUUGGCUAAGGUGUCUUGGCUAAAGUGUCUUGGCUAAGGUGUCUCGGCUAAGGUGUCUUGGCUAAUGUGUCUUGGCUAAGGUGUCUUGGCUAAGGUGUCUUGGCUAAUGUGUCUCGGCUAAGGUGUCUUGGCUAAUGUGUCUUGGCUAAGGUGUCUUGGCUAAGGUGUCUUGGCUAAGGUGUCUUGGCUAAGGUGUCUUGGCUAAUGUGUCUCGGCUAAGGUGUCUUGGCUAAUGUGUCUUGGCUAAGGUGUCUUGGCUAAUGUGUCUCGGCUAAUGUGUAUUGGCUAAUGUGUCUCGGCUAAGGUGUCUUGGCUAAUGUGUCUUGGCUAAUGUGUCUUGGCUAAGGUGUCUUGGCUAAGGUGUCUUGGCUAAGGUGUCUUGGCUAAGGUGUCUUGGCUAAGGUGUCUUGGCUAAUGUGUCGUGGCUAAGGUGUCUUGGCUAAGGUGUCUUGGCUAAUGUGUCUUGGCUAAGGUGUCUUGGCUAAGGUGUCUUGGCUAAGGUGUCUUGGCUAAUGUGUCUCGGCUAAGGUGUCUUGGCUAAUGUGUCGCGGCUAAGGUGUCUUGGCUAAGGUGUCUUGGAUAAUGUGUCUUGGCUAAGGUGUCUUGGCUAAUGUGUCUCGGAUAAUGUGUCUUGGCUAAUGUGUCUUGGCUAAGGUGUCUUGGCUAAUGUGUCUUGGCUAAGGUGUCUUGGCUAAGGUGUCAUGGCUAAGGUGUCUUGGCUAAGGUGCCUUGGCUAAGGUGUCUAGGCUAAUGUGUCUCGGCUAAAGUGUCUUUGCUAAGGUGUCUUGGCUAAUGUGUCUUGGCUAAGGUGUCUUGGCUAAGGUGCCUUGGCUAAGGUGUCUUGGCUAAUGUGUCUCGGCUAAUGUGUCUUGGCUAAUGUGUCGCGGCUAAGGUGUCUUGGCUAAUGUGUCUUGGCUAAUGUGUCUUGGCUAAUGUGUCUUGGCUAAGGUGUCUUGGCUAAGGUGUCUUGGCUAAGGUGUCUUGGCUAAUGUGUCUUGGCUAAGGUGUCUUGGCUAAGGUGUCUUGGCUAAUGUGUCUUGGCUAAGGUGUCUUGGCUAAGGUGUCUUGGCUAAUGUGUCUCGGCUAAGGUGUCUUGGCUAAUGUGUUGUGGCUAAGGUGUCUUGGCUAAGGUGUCUUGGCUAAUGUGUCUUGGCUAAUGUGUCUUGGCUAAGGUGUCUUGGCUAAUGUGUCUCGGCUAAGGUGUCUUGGCUAAUGUGUCUUGGCUAAUGUGUCUCGGCUAAAGUGUCUUGGCUAAUGUGUCUUGGCUAAGGUGUCUUGGCUAAGGUGUCUCGGCUACGGUGUCUCGGCUAAGGUGUCUUGGCUAAUGUGUCUUGGCUAAUGUGUCUUGGCUAAUGUGUCUUGGCUAAGGUGUCUUGGCUAAUGUGUCUUGGCUAAGGUGUCUUGGCUAAGGUGUCUUGGCUUAUGUGUCUUGGCUAAUGUGUCUCGGCUAAGGUGUCUUGGCUAAUGUGUCUUGGCUAAGGUGUCUUGGCUAAUGUGUCUCGGUUAAGGUGUCUUGGCUUAUGUGUCUUGGCUAAGGUGUCUUGGCUAAUGUGUCUCGGCUAAGGUGUCUUGGCUAAUGUGUCUUGGCUAAUGUGUCUCGGCUAAAGUGUCUUGGCUAAUGUGUCUUGGCUAAGGUGUCUUGGCUAAGGUGUCUCGGCUACGGUGUCUCGGCUAAGGUGUCUUGGCUAAUGUGUCUUGGCUAAUGUGUCUUGGCUAAGGUGUCUUGGCUAAGGUGUCUUGGCUUAUGUGUCUUGGCUAAUGUGUCUCGGCUAAGGUGUCUUGGCUAAUGUGUCUUGGCUAAGGUGUCUUGGCUAAUGUGUCUCGGUUAAGGUGUCUUGGCUUAUGUGUCUUGGCUAAGGUGUCUUGGCUAAUGUGUCUCGGCUAAUGUGUCUUGGCUAAUGUGUCUCGGCUAAUGUGUCUUGGCUAAUGUGUCUUGGCUAAGGUGUCUUGGGUAAUGUGUCUCGGCUAAGGUGUCUUGGCUAAUGUGUCUUGGCUAAGGUGUCUUGGCUAAUGUGUCUUGGCUUAUGUGUCUUGGCUAAUGUGUCUUGGCUAAGGUGUCUUGGCUAAUGUGUCUUGGCUAAUGUGUCUUGGCUUAUGUGUCUUGGCUAAGGUGUCUUGGCUAAUGUGUCUUGGCUAAAGUGUCUUGGCAAAGGUGUCUUGGCUAAGGUGUCUUGGCUAAAGUGUCUUGGCUAAGGUGUCUUGGCUAAUGUGUCUUGGCUAAUGUGUCUUGGCUAAUGUGUCUUGGCUAAGGUGUCUUGGCUAAUGUGUCUUGGCUAAGGUGUCUUGGCUAAUGUGUCUUGGCUAAGGUGUCUUGGCUAAUGUGUCUUGGCUAAGGUGUCUUGGCUAAAGUGUCUUGGCUAAGGUGUCUUGGCUAAUGUGUCUUGGCUAAGGUGUCUUGGCUAAUGUGUCUUGGCUUAUGUGUCUUGGCUAAUGUGUCUUGGCUAAGGUGUCUUGGCUAAUGUGUCUUGGCUAAUGUGUCUUGGCUUAUGUGUCUUGGCUAAUGUGUCUCGGCUAAUGUGUCUUGGCUAAGGUGUCUUGGCUAAGGUGUCUUGGCUAAGGUGUCUUGGCUAAUGUGUCUUGGCUAAGGUGUCUUGGCUAAGGUGUCUUGGCUAAGGUGUCUUGGCUAAAGUGUCUUGGCUAAGGUGUCUUGGCUAAUGUGUCUUGGCUAAGGUGUCUUGGCUUAGGUGUCUUGGCUAAGGUGUCUUGGCUAAGGUGUCUUGGCUAAAGUGUCUUGGCUAAGGUGUCUUGGCUAAUGUGUCUUGGCUAAGGUGUCUCGGCUAAUGUGUCUUGGCUAAUGUGUCUUGGCUAAUGUGUCUUGGCUAAGGUGUCUUGGCUAAUGUGUCUUGGCUAAGGUGUCUUGGCUAAUGUGUCUUGGCUAAGGUGUCUUGGCUAAAGUGUCUUGGCUAAGGUGUCUUGGCUAAUGUGUCUUGGCUAAGGUGUCUUGGCUAAUGUGUCUUGGCUUAUGUGUCUUGGCUAAUGUGUCUCGGCUAAUGUGUCUUGGCUAAGGUGUCUUGGCUAAUGUGUCUUGGCUAAGGUGUCUUGGCUAAGGUGUCUUGGCUAAGGUGUCUUGGCUAAUGUGUCUUGGCUAAGGUGUCUUGGCUUAGGUGUCUUGGCUAAGGUGUCUUGGCUAAGGUGUCUUGGCUAAUGUGUCUUGGCUAAGGUGUCUUGGCUAAUGUGUCUUGGCUAAGGUGUCUUGGCUAAGGUGUCUUGGCUAAGGUGUCUUGGCUAAGGUGUCUUGGCUAAGGUGUCUUGGCUAAUGUGUCUUGGCUAAGGUGUCUUGGCUAAGGUGUCUUGGCUAAAGUGUCUUGGCUAAGGUGUCUUGGCUAAGGUGUCUUGGCUAAAGUGUCUUGGCUAAGGUGUCUUGGCUAAUGUGUCUUGGCUAAGGUGUCUUGGCUAAUGUGUCUUGGCUAAGGUGUCUUGGCUAAAGUGUCUUGGCUAAGGUGUCUUGGCUAAUGUGUCUUGGCUAAGGUGUCUUGGCUAAUGUGUCUUGGCUUAUGUGUCUUGGCUAAUGUGUCUCGGCUAAAGUGUCUUGGCUAAGGUGUCUUGGCUAAUGUGUCUUGGCUAAGGUGUCUUGGCUUAGGUGUCUUGGCUAAGGUGUCUUGGCUAAGGUGUCUUGGCUAAAGUGUCUUGGCUAAGGUGUCUUGGCUAAUGUGUCUUGGCUAAGGUGUCUUGGCUAAGGUGUCUUGGCUAAGGUGUAUUGCCUAAGGUGUCUUGGCUAAAGUGUCUUGGCUAAGGUGUCUUGGCUAAUGUGUCUUGGCUAAGGUGUCUUGGCUAAUGUGUCUUGGCUAAUGUGUCUUGGCUAAGGUGUCUUGGCUAAUGUGUCUUGGCUAAGGUGUCUUGGCUAAUGUGUCUUGGCUAAGGUGUCUUGGCUAAUGUGUCUUGGCUAAGGUGUCGUGGCUAAAGUGUCUUGGCUAAGGUGUCUUGGCUAAAGUGUCUUGGCUAAGGUGUCUUGGCUAAGGUGUCUUGGCUAAGGUGUCUUGGCUAAAGUGUCUUGGCUAAGGUGUCUUGGCUAAUGUGCCUUGGCUAAUGUGUCUUGGCUUAUGUGUCUUGGCUAAUGUGUCUCGGCUAAUGUGUCUUGGCUAAGGUGUCUUGGCUAAUGUGUCUUGGCUAAGGUGUCUUGG